rnacentral:rRNA from 1 species
UACGGAGGGAGCUAGCGUUGUUCGGAAUUACUGGGCGUAAAGCGCACGUAGGCGGCUUUGUAAGUUAGAGGUGAAAGCCCGGGGCUCAACCCCGGAAUUGCCUUUAAGACUGCAUCGCUUGAAUCCGGGAGAGGUGAGUGGAAUUCCGAGUGUAGAGGUGAAAUUCGUAGAUAUCGGAAGGAACACCUGUGGCGAAAGCGGCGCACUGGACCAAAACUGACGCUGAGGCGCGAAAGCUAGGGGAGCAAACAGG